UUCCGGUUGAUCCUGCCGGAGGUUACUGCUAUCGAGGUUCGACUAAGCCAUGCGAGUCGAAUGUAGCAAUACAUGGCGUACUGCUCAGUAACACGUGGAUAACCUACCCUUGAGAUGGGGAUAAACCCGGGAAACUGGGUAUAAUACCCAAUAGAUCUCGACUGCUGGAAUGCAUCGAGCUCCAAAGCUCCGGCGCUCAAGGAUGGAUCUGCGGCCUAUCAGGUAGUAGUGGGUGUAGCGUACCUACUAGCCUACGACGGGUACGGGUUGUGAGAGCAAGAGCCCGGAGAUGGAUUCUGAGACACGAAUCCAGGCCCUACGGGGUGCAGCAGGCGCGAAAACUUUACAAUGCUGGAAACAGCGAUAAGGGGACCUCGAGUGCCAGGUUACAAAUCUGGCUGUCGUGAUGCCUAAAAAGCAUUGCAUAGCAAGGGCCGGGCAAGACCGGUGCCAGCCGCCGCGGUAACACCGGCGGCUCGAGUGGUAACCGUUAUUAUUGGGUCUAAAGGGUCUGUAGCCGGCCGGAUAAGUCUCUUGGGAAAUCUGGCAGCUUAACUGUCAGGCUUUCAGGAGAUACUGUCUGGCUCGAGGCCGGGAGAGGUAAGAGGUACUUCAGGGGUAGGGGUGAAAUCUUGUAAUCCUUGAAGGACCACCAGUGGCGAAGGCGUCUCACCAGAACGGACCUGACGGCAAGGGACGAAAGCUAGGGGCACGAACCGGAUUAGAUACCCGGGUAGUCCUAGCCGUAACGAUACUCGCUAGGUGUCGGCAACGGUGCGACCGUUGUCGGUGCCGUAGGGAAGCCGUGAAGCGAGCCACCUGGGAAGUACGGCCGCAAGGCUGAAACUUAAAGGAAUUGGCGGGGGAGCACCACAACGGGUGGAGCUUGCGGUUUAAUUGGAUUCAACGCCGGAA
rnacentral:rRNA from 1 species